AAUAAAAAGAAGCGAACAUAGAAUAAAGCAACAAUAUUUUCUGAAUUAAAUAGCGGAUAUGAGGAAAAAGAUUAAUCUAAAUAAAAUAAGGAAUGACUAUCUUAAAAAAAAUAAAAAUGAAACCACACAAAGAAGCCAAAGCCAAGGAUCAAACUUGACAUCUGGUGGGAGGCAAGAGAAGUCUCAACCACCAGGCCGGGAGUGCUUAGUUGGA
rnacentral:lncRNA from 1 species